rnacentral:sRNA from 20 species
CCCGUCCGCCCCGUGGACGCCUCUGACCGUACGGCGUGCCGAGGGCUACCCUGACCGGGUGCGCCUUCCGCGGGAGGCCGCAAAGCCGACAGCCGUCGCACUCCAGGGAGCAUCUUCCAUG